AAUGAACGUUGGCGGCGUGGAUUAGGCAUGCAAGUCGAGCGGAAAGGCCCGCAAGGGCACUCGAGCGGCGUAAGGGACAGUAAUGUGUAGGUAACGUACCCCUGGGUCUAGGAUAGCUGCGGGAAACUGCAAUUAAUACUAGAUAACGUCUCCGGACCAAAGGUGUGAUUCCACCUGGGGGAGCGGCCUACAUCCUAUUAGCUAGUUGGCGAGGUAAUGGCUCACCAAGGCGAAGAUGGGUAGCAGGUGUGAGAGCACGACCUGCGUCACUGGGACUGUGACACUGCCCAGACACCUACGGGUGGCUGCAGUCGAGAAUCUUCGGCAAUGGGCGAAAGCCUGACCGAGCGACGCCGCGUGUGGGAUGAAGGCCUC
rnacentral:rRNA from 1 species